rnacentral:rRNA from 1 species
GCAAACAGGAUUAGAUACCCUGGUAGUCCACGCUGUAAACGAUGAGUGCUAGGUGUUAGACCCUUUCCGGGGUUUAGUGCCGUAGCUAACGCAUUAAGCACUCCGCCUGGGGAGUACGACCGCAAGGUUGAAACUCAAAGGAAUUGACGGGGGCCCGCACAAGCGGUGGAGCAUGUGGUUUAAUUCGAAGCAACGCGAAGAACCUUACCAGGUCUUGACAUCCCUCUGACCGCUCUAGAGAUAGAGUUUUCCUUCGGGACAGAGGUGACAGGUGGUGCAUGGUUGUCGUCAGCUCGUGUCGUGAGAUGUUGGGUUAAGUCCCGCAACGAGCGCAACCCUUGAUCUUAGUUGCCAUCAUUAAGUUGGGCACUCUAAGGUGACUGCCGGUGACAAACCGGAGGAAGGUGGGGAUGACGUCAAAUCAUCAUGCCCCUUAUGAUUUGGGCUACACACGUGCUACAAUGGACAAUACAAAGGGCAGCGAAACCGCGAGGUCAAGCAAAUCCCAUAAAGUUGUUCUCAGUUCGGAUUGUAGUCUGCAACUCGACUAUAUGAAGCUGGAAUCGCUAGUAAUCGUAGAUCAGCAUGCUACGGUGAAUACGUUCCCGGGUCUUGUACACACCGCCCGUCACACCACGAGAGUUUGUAACACCCGAA